ACCUUGAUGACAUCCCAAUUAAAGCACGUAUUAGACUGCUCAAGUGGGUGAUGCGAAAUAACAUUCCCAGGU